rnacentral:rRNA from 1 species
UAACCUGCCCAAGAGACUGGGAUAACACCUGGAAACAGAUGCUAAUACCGGAUAACAACACUAGACGCAUGUCUAGAGUUUAAAAGAUGGUUCUGCUAUCACUCUUGGAUGGACCUGCGGUGCAUUAGCUAGUUGGUAAGGUAACGGCUUACCAAGGCAAUGAUGCAUAGCCUAGUUGAGAGACUGAUCGGCCACAUUGGGACUGAGACACGGCCCAAACUCCUACGGGAGGCAGCAGCG